AGAGCGAACGCUGGCGGCAGGCCUAAUACAUGCAAGUCGAACGGAUCCUUCGGGAUUAGUGGCGGACGGGUGAGUAACACGUGGGAACGUGCCUUUUGGUUCGGAACAACUCAGGGAAACUUGAGCUAAUACCGAAUGUGCCCCCUUCUUUGACUAGGGGGGUGGGAAAGAUUUAUCGCCAUUAGAGCGGCCCGCGUCUGAUUAGCUAGUUGGUGGGGUAAAGGCCCACCAAGGCUACGAUCAGUAGCUGGUCUGAGAGGAUGAUCAGCCACACUGGGACUGAGACACGGCCCAGACUCCUACGGGGGGCAGCAGUGAGGAAUUUUCCGCAAUGGAGGCAACUCUGACGGAGCAACGCCGCGUGCAGGAGGAAGGUUUUCGGAUCGUAAACUGCUUUUCUCGGGGACGAGCAAGGACGGUACCCGAGGAAGAAGCCCCGGCUAACUACGUGCCAGCAGCCGC
rnacentral:rRNA from 1 species